UAUCAUCGCGGCGCGCCGCUCAUGUCGUCUUGGCGGUGGCUAUCGUCCCGGCGCGUGUUUGGGUGGUCGCCGGCGCGUCCAUGUUCUUGUCUGCGUGCUGCUCCAUUUAUAACCUGCAUCUAGGAAGGGGCAUGACUUAAUGUGAAAUGGAUGAGCGGAAAGAGCUAUUUCUGAAAGUAGGCUACAACCAGGAGGGCGCACCAUCUUGCAGUUCAAGAGGCUCUUAAUAUGAAUGAAUCUGAACUGCAUGGUCGUCAGAU